rnacentral:sRNA from 13 species
AGAAACUGUAAGCCCCUUAAUUGAAGCACUAUAAAUUAUUUGUACUCUUUCAGAAAGCAAUCCCCUAACUGAGAAGGUUGAACAAUUGGAUUUAUUGGAUUUAUAGGGGAGUUCAGCGUGCCCCUUUGGCUAGCAGUUGAUAUCCAAAUGGGAAGUGGCACUCGAAGCACAAGGUCACUGCGGCCACCUGACUUUCGUUGAUUGCCCUCCAAUCACCAUAAACCAACAACCAGCAGGCGGUAUAAUAUCCAUCAUUAUGGCAGGGCCACCACCAUCCCUCAACAUUAUUAGCCCAAAAUGACCUCCUUCCCCUCUCCCGCCACCGAUGAGGGGGUGGGUGAGGGGCAGACGUCUCACCGGCACAAUGGAGCAGACAGGAAGCUAGCGACAGACAAGUGCUGGAAGGCACGGGAAAGGGGGUGGGACUUUCCCUUCGUUUUAGACCUUCCUGCACCUGGUCAACCCCACUACGCGGGGUCUUCAAAGCGCCAGUGAGGCAAAGAUAAACACACGUUAAACUCAAAGUGGAGAGCCACGACUCCGAGGUACCAUGGACUACAAAAUAAAAGAGUUAACAAAAACUCGGGUGGAAUAGAGUCCCCUUUACAUAAUUAGAAAUAAGUGACAUAAGUAUCUCGUAAAAUGUCAUUUAAUCAUAAGUGUAUGUGAAAAUCACACCAAAUGCAACAUACCCCUACAAAUUACAGGUACCCUCUAAAAUAAAACAAAGGAAUCAGGCGAAGAAUGGGAAAACGACACAAGAAGAGCGAUGAGGAAAUUGCGAGAGACGUGUAAGAAAUUAUAACAAGAAA